GAUGAAGAACGUAGCGAACUGCGAUAAGUAAUGUGAAUUGCAGAAUUCAGUGAAUCAUCGAGUCUUUGAACGCACAUUGCGCCCCCUGGCAUUCCGGGGGGCAUGCCUGUCCGAGCGUCAUUGCUGCCCUUCAAGCCCGGCUUGUGUGUUGGGUCGUCGCCCCCCCCGGGGGACGGGCCCGAAAGGCAGCGGCGGCACCGCGUCCGGUCCUCGAGCGUAUGGGGCUUUGUCACCCGCUCGAUUAGGGCCGGCCGGGCGCCAGCCGGCGUCUCCAACCUUCUAUUUUACCAGGUUGACCUCGGAUCAGGUAGGGAUACCCGCUGAACUUAAGCAUAUCAAUAAGCGGAGGA
rnacentral:misc_RNA from 1 species